rnacentral:rRNA from 1 species
AUGAACGCUGGCGGCGUGCCUCAUACAUGCAAGUCGAGCGAACGGACGAGAAGCUUGCUUUUCUGAUGUUAGCGGCGGACGGGUGAGUAACACGUGGAUAACCUACCUAUAAGACUGGGAUAACUUCGGGAAACCGGAGCUAAUACCGGAUAAUAUUUUGAACCGCAUGGUUCAAAAGUGAAAGACGGUCCUGCUGUCACUUAUAGAUGGAUCCGCGCUGCAUUAGCUAGUUGGUAAGGUAACGGCUUACCAAGGCAACGAUGCAUAGCCGACCUGAGAGGGGGACCGGCCAACCUGGACCUGAGACCCGGCCCAGACCCCUCCGGGAGGCCGCAGUAGGGAUUCUUCCGCAAUGGGCGAAAGCCUAACGGAGCAACCCCGCGGGAGUGAUGAAGGUUUUCGGCUCGUAAAACUCUUUUAUUAGGGAAGAACAUUUGGGUAAGUAACUGUCCCCAUUUUGCCGGUACCUAAUCAAAAAGCCCCGGCUAACUACGU